GGGAGGCCCGCAAGGGCGAGGCUAAUUUCUGCCGAAGUGACAGGAUCUUCAACCAAGAAAAGCCGGUGCCGGACAAAGUCAGUGCCCGUACCUCAAACUGACACAGGUAGGCGAGAUGAGUAUUCUAAGGCGCUCGAGAGAACGCUUGUGAAGGAACUCUGCAAAUUGGCCCCGUAACUUCGGGAUAAGGGGCGCCCUUGAAGGUGUUAAAGCCUUCGGGGGCCGCAGUGAAAAGGGUCUAGCGACUGUUUACUAAAAACACAGGACUCUGCGAACUCGUAAGAGGAUGUAUAGAGUCUGACGCCUGCCCGGUGUCGGUAAGUUAAGGGAGGGGGUUAGCCGUAAGGUAAAGCCCGCGACCGAAGCUCCGAUAAACGGCGGCCGUAACUAUGACGGUCCUAAGGUAGCGAAGUUCCUUGUCGGGUAAGUUCCGACCUGCAUGAAUGGCGUAACGACUGGACCACUGUCUCCACAAGCGACUCGGUGAAACUGUAGUUGUCGUGAAGAUGCGACAUACCCGCGAUUAGACGGAAAGACCCCGUGAACCUUAACUGUAGCAUAGUGUUGGGUUUAGGCCCAACAUGCGUAGUGUAGCUGGGAGGCUGUGAAGAGGGUGUCUCGGCACUCUCGGAGCCAUCGAUGAAACACCAGCCUUGUUGUGCUUGAAUUCUAACUCCGUUCCCUGAUCGGGACGGUGGACAGCGCUAUGUGGGCAGUUUGAUUGGGGCGAUCUCCUCCUAAAAGGUAACGGAGGAGUCCAAAGGUACCCUCAGCCCGGUUGGCAAUCGGGCAUCGAGCGUAAAGGUAGAAGGGUGCUUGACUGCGAGACCGAUAGGUCGAGCAGGGACGAAAGUCGGGCUUAGUGAUCCGGCGGUUUCCGUAUGGAAGGGCCGUCGCUCAACAGAUAAAAGGUACUCCGGGGAUAACAGGCUUAUCUCCUCUGAGCGUUCAUAGCGGCGAGGAGGUUUGGCACCUCGAUGUCGGCUCAUCGCAUCCUGGGGGUGGAGAAGCUCCCAAGGGUUUGGCUGUUCGCCAAUGAAAGCGGUACGUGAGCUGGGUUUAGACCGUCGUGAGACAGGUCGGUCCCUAUCUGUCGCGGGCGCAGGAGACUUGCGAGGCUCUCUCCCUAGUACGAGAGGAUUGGGAGGGACGUACCUCUGGUGAUCCAGUUAUCGCGCUAGCGGUACAGCUGGGUAGCUACGUACGGAACGGAUAAACGCUGAAGGCAUAUAAGCGUGAAACUCCCCUCUAGACGAGGUCUCCUUGCUUAACAGCUGAAGGCUCCCGGAAGACCACCGGGUAUAUAGGCCGGGUGUGUAAGCGCAGCAAUGCGUUUAGCUGACCGGUACUAACAGCCGAACGCUUGACCAC
rnacentral:rRNA from 1 species